UACGUAGGAGGCUAGCGUUAUCCGGAAUUACUGGGCGUAAAGGGUGCGUAGGUGGUUUCUUAAGUCAGAGGUGAAAGGCUACGGCUCAACCGUAGUAAGCCUUUGAAACUGGGAAACUUGAGUGCAGGAGAGGAGAGUGGAAUUCCUAGUGUAGCGGUGAAAUGCGUAGAUAUUAGGAGGAACACCAGUUGCGAAGGCGGCUCUCUGGACUGUAACUAACACUGAGGCACGAAAGCGUGGGGAGCAAACAGGAUUAGAUACCCUGGUAGUCCCUGAG
rnacentral:rRNA from 1 species